rnacentral:rRNA from 1 species
GACAGAGGAGCCAAGCGUUGUCCGGAUUGACUGGGCGUAAAGCGCACGCAGGCGGCCCGGCGCGUGGGGUGUGAAAGCUGGCGGCUUAACUGCCAGACGCCAUCCCAUACGGCUGGGCUCGAGCCCUGCAGAGGUCCAUGGAAUUGCCGGUGUAGUGGUGAAAUGCGUAGAGAUCGGCAGGAACACCCAGGGGGAAACCAGUGGACUGGGCAGGAGCUGACGCUCAGGCACGAAAGCCAGGGGAGCAAACGGG